rnacentral:rRNA from 1 species
GACGAACGCUGGCGGCGUGCUUAACACAUGCAAGUCGAACGGGUCUGCCCUGUUUUUUGCGGGGUGGGUCAGUGGCGAACGGGUGAGUAACACGUGAGUAACCUGCCCCUCACUUCUGGAUAACCGCUUGAAAGGGUGGCUAAUACGGGGUGUUCUGGCUGUGCCGCAUGGUGUGGCUGGGAAAGAUUCACUUUUGUGGUGUUUUGGUGGGGGAUGGGCUCGCGGCCUAUCAGCUUGUUGGGGGGGUGAUGGCCUGCCAAGGCUUUGACGGGUAGCCGGCCUGUGAGGGUGGGCGGUCACACUGGGACUGAGAUACGGCCCAGACUCCUGCGGGAGGCAGCAGUGGGGGGUAUUGCACAAUGGGCGGAAGCCUGAUGCAGCGACGUCGCGUGAGGGAUGGAGGCCUUCGGGUUGUGAACCUCUUUCGCCGGUGAAGAAGGUCCUGCUCUUUGUGGUGGGGUUGACGGUAGCCGGGUUAUGAAGCGCCGGCUAACUACGUG